rnacentral:rRNA from 1 species
UUAGGCGAACGGGUGAGUAACGCGUGAGUAACCUGCCCUGGAGUGGGGGACAACAGUUGGAAACGACUGCUAAUACCGCAUAAGCCCACGAUCCGGCAUCGGAUUGAGGGAAAAGGAUUUAUUCGCUUCAGGAUGGACUCGCGUCCAAUUAGCUGGUUGGUGAGGUAACGGCCCACCAAGGCGACGAUUGGUAGCCGGACUGAGAGGUUGAACGGCCACAUUGGGACUGAGACACGGCCCAG